CGGACGGGUGAGUAACGCGUGAGAAUCUACCUUCAGGUCGGGGAUAACCCCUGGAAACGGGGGCUAAUACCGGAUAGGUCGAAAGAUGAAAGGUUAACUGCCUGAAGAGGGGCUCGCGUCUGAUUAGCUAGUAGGUGUGGUAAGAGCGCACCUAGGCGACGAUCAGUAGCUGGUCUGAGAGGAUGAGCAGCCACACUGGGACUGAGACACGGCCCAGACUCCUACGGGAGGCAGCAGUGGGGAAUUUUCCGCAAUGGGCGAAAGCCUGACGGAGCAAGACCGCGUGGGGGAGGAAGGCCUUUGGGUUGUAAACCCCUUUUGUUAGGGAAGAAAAAAAUGACGGUACCUAACGAAUCAGCCUCGGCUAACUCCGUGCCAGCAGCCGCGGUAAUACGGAGGAGGCAAGCGUUAUCCGGAAUUAUUGGGCGUAAAGCGUCCGUAGGUGGCCCGGCAAGUCUGCUGUCAAAGACCACAGCUCAACUGUGGAAAGGCAGUGGAAACUGCAAGGCUAGAGUGCGGUAGGGGUAGAGGGAAUUCCCAGUGUAGCGGUGAAAUGCGUAGAGAUUGGGAAGAACACCGGUGGCGAAAGCGCUCUACUGGGCCGCAACUGACACUGAUGGACGAAAGCUAGGGGAGCGAAUGGGAUUAGAUACCCCAGUAGUCCUAGCUGUAAACGAUGGAAACUAGGUGUAGCACGUAUCGACCCGUGCUGUAUCGGAGCUAACGCGUUAAGUUUCCCCGCCUGGGGAGUACGCAC
rnacentral:rRNA from 1 species